GUUUUCCUCCUACUUCUUGCCAACUCUUUUGGUCAGACUCUGACUUCCAAGUCCAGAGAUCGUUGUACCAAAGCACCUUCUGGCCUUUCUUAUGACUUAGUCAUGGAAGAUGAAUCAUGUCUGACCAGAGAUCUGGCAGAGAGGAGGCCCCAGUGAAAGCUGUUUGCUGGCUUUUCUACUCUUUAGGAUGGAUGUGGGAAAAAAAGCACGGGCUGCUUAAGAAAAUCAAGGCUCUGCUACCAAAGGCAGAAAUCUGAUUCAGGUAAGAGAAAAUGAAUGAAUGGGAGCUCUGUAAACCACAUCAGAUGCCAGAGGUAUUAAAUGGAAUGAUAAAGCUAAAUAUUUCAACAGAGCUUGGCACAUUUGACACUGUUCCUCUUCUGCAUAAACUUCAAGUAGAAAAAAACAGGAUUGUCUAGAAGGUUAUAGAAAAAUGACACUGACUGCCUACUCUGUGCCAAGAAGUAUUACGGAGCAGAAGUGGAAGUAGCAAGGGUUUUGAUGCCAGAAAGACCUGGAUUCGAAACCAAACCUGUACCUUACCAGCUGUGGAUUUUGGCAAGAUUACUGCACCUCUCAAAGACCCAAUUUCCCCUUCAAAAAAUGGCCUUUCAGCAUUGAUGGAAGGGUUCAGUGAGGUAACAUGUAUGGCUCACAGGAGUGGCUGACACUUGGUAGGCAAAUUAAGAGAUGCUCCCUUACAAAAUUUCAAACUGAAUCUCUAAUCUGACUUCAAGGGCUAAUAAAAUAAAGAAAUGCCAUAGGUCUCAAACACGCACACACAAACACUAGCAAUCACCAGACGUAUGUCAAAUCAUACUAAUGGAAAGAUUUCAUUUUUUCUUCUUCCAGUCUUUUCUGGUGUGGGAGGGAGUUGGUUGUGAUUGGUCAGGUAUGAAAGUGGAGCGUUUUCUGUCUCCGCAUGUCUCUCUUCUUCCUAAGGCUUACGGGAGCAGAACAUUGUGCAUUCAAG
rnacentral:lncRNA from 1 species